rnacentral:tRNA from 1 species
CGCCCGCGUCGGCGAGGCCGGACGAGGCCAGGUCGAUGAUCGCGGCCGGCAAUUCGCGCAGCGGCACCUGUUCGAUCUCGGUGCGGGCGAC